CAUUCUCAAUGAUGUAUAGCUUAUUGUCAUUCUCAAUGACAAAAUCUAUUUCUGAGUGGUACAUUACCCACUGUGAUUAAUCUUUGGAGAGAAGAUAUGUGUCAAGAUUGUGCCUCAUCAAUGGGCACAUCUGUUGGGUUCCGGUGGCACAGCGGAAAGGUUAGGUAUUUAAAAUUUUCAUUCAAAACACCUAAUGCAUCGGAAGCCCUAAUGCCC
rnacentral:lncRNA from 1 species